rnacentral:rRNA from 1 species
AACGAACGCUGGCGGCAGGCUUAACACAUGCAAGUCGAACGCCUGUAGCAAUACAGGAGUGGCAGACGGGUGAGUAACACGUGGGAACGUGCCCAAAGGUACGGAACAACUCCGGGAAACUGGAGCUAAUACCGGAUGAGCCCUUAGGGGGAAAGAUUUAUCGCCAUUAGAGCGGCCCGCGUUAGAUUAGCUAGUUGGUGAGGUAAAGGCUCACCAAGGCUACGAUCUAUAGCUGGUCUGAGAGGAUGAUCAGCCACACUGGGACUGAGACACGGCCCAGACUCCUACGGGGGGCAGCAGUGGGGAAUCUUGCGCAAUGGGCGAAAGCCUGACGCAGCCAUGCCGCGUGAAUGAUGAAGGUCUUAGGAUUGUAAAAUUCUUUUACCAGGGACGAUAAUGACGGUACCUGGAGAAAAAGCCCCGGCUAACUUCGCGCCAGCCGCCGCCGUAA